rnacentral:tRNA from 1 species
ACUACGCUCAGUGGUUAGAGCGUAGGUCUCGUAACCGAAAGGUCGCGGGAUCGAAUCCCGCUAGAG